UAGCAAUCUCCAAAGAAGAGAUUAUUCCAGAGUUCGACCAUGAAAACGAGAACGUAGCUGUAACCAAGGUGACCUUGAAUGGCCUAGACGAUGGCCCAAGAGAGGUACUUUGUCCACCGUCGACUACUACUCUAAGUACUCAGCUUUCAGAUACCGUGGACAAUGGUUGCACUCGAGAGUUGAACGGUAAUAUCCUCGUGGAAGAUACCAUCUUCGCCGGACAGAUUCCUCCUCCGCCUCCACCACCAAGGACCAGCUCCAGUCAAAAUCACUUGGAUACCUAUCUCAAAAAGCUUAGUAAAUCGAGUCACCAUUCUCCGGUGAAAAGGCAGUGGUCAGCGGGAGAGUGGCCUCUACAGCACGAGGAAUUAAACAAAGCCAGCGAAAAAGAAGUUCGUUUGAGAAAACCACCAAGACCAAAAUCCGAGGUGAUAUUCAACGGUGAUCGUGUCAGGUGUCAGCGGUACUCUGGUCUUGGGUUU